UACGGAGGGUGCAAGCGUUAUCCGGAUUCACUGGGUUUAAAGGGUGCGUAGGUGGGCUAGUAAGUCAGUGGGGAAAUCUCCGGGCUUAACCCGGAAACUGCCAUUGAUACUAUUAGUCUUGAAUACCAUGGAGGUGAGCGGAAUAUGUCAUGUAGCGGUGAAAUGCUUAGAUAUGACAUAGAACACCAAUUGCGAAGGCAGCUCGCUACGCGGUUAUUGACACUGAGGCACGAAAGCGUGGGGAUCAAACAGG
rnacentral:rRNA from 1 species